rnacentral:lncRNA from 1 species
GAUAAGAUGUUAUGUCUUGAAUAAAAAAUGUUGUUCUUUUGCUACAUCUCUAAUUCAGAUUUUAACAUCUUGGUAAACUCCAUAUAAUUCAUCUUGUGUAUUAUUAGUUGCUCAUAUUAUCCAUCCAUGCUCCACAUAAAUUCACUACCUUUGCUUCUUAUAAAGAUGCUUAGACAUAAGAUUUAUCUUGGAACUAUGGUCAGUUAAAACAACAA